UUACAAUGAAUGCGCCCAGUGAUGAAGAAAGUAUAAGAAACAGUAGUGGAGAGUCAAGCCAAUCAGAUGAUGAUUCUGGGUCAACAUCUGCUUCUGGAUCUGGUUCAAGCUCUGGAAGCAGUAGUGAUGGAAGUAGCAGUCAGUCAGGUAGCAGUGACUCUGAGUCUGCUUCAGAGUCAGGCAGUCAAUCAGAACUGGAGUCUGAUGCGUCUAGAGAGAAGAAACAAGUUCAAGCUAAACCACCAAAAGUUGAUGGAUCUGAGAGAUCAGUAGCGCUCAAGAAGCAACAACAGCAAAUGACAGCUUCAUCAGGCAGUGGUUCUGAAGAGGAUUUAUUGAGCAGUGAAGAUUCUACAGAUGGCUCAUCCAGUGAAACUAAGAAGAAAAAAUGUAGAGAGUAAGUUAUUUUUCAUAAAUAUAAUCAUUUUUUGUUUGUUAUGGCAAUGUAUGAUUUUGCAAUUACCCAUGCUUCACUUCUC
rnacentral:lncRNA from 1 species